UGUCGAUGAAAGAACGCAGCAAACUGUGCGUCAUCGUGUGAACUGCAGGACACAUGAACAUCGACAUUUUGAACGCAUAUCGCAGUCCAUGCUGUUAUGUACUUUAAUUAAUUUUAUAGUGCUGCUUGGACUACAUAUGGUUGAGGGUUGUAAGACUAUGCUAAAAAAGUUGCUUAAAAUAUUUGUUUUAAAUUAUUUGAGCAUAUGGUAUAUUAUUGGAUAAUAAUGUGUGAGCAUAUUUUUUUUAGUGCACACACGAAAUAUUCAUAAUAUUAAUUUAUAUAUGGAAAUACAUACUAUCUCUCUCAUUGUGUAUAAUUUGUAUGAGAAAACUGAAGAUAUAUAUUUUCUUUUUUCAAUUCAAAUAAUAUCGAGAAAUGUCUAGCAUAAAAAAGUUUUUUUCAUCUAGAAUUGUCUCGAUUAUUAUAGAUGCGAUAAGAAAUUUGUUGUAAAUAAUAUUAUUCUUCAAAAAUUAUUGUACAUUUUCAUAAAAUUGAAUUUAUCGCAUAUAGUAUUCAAUUAAAAUUGUUUUAUACAACCUCAACUCAUAUGGGACUACCCCCUGAAUUUAAGCAUAUUAAUUAGGGGAGGAAAAGAAACUAACAAGGAUUUUCUUAGUAGCGGCGAGCGAAAAGAAAUCAGUUCAGCACUAAGUCACUUUGUCUAUAUGGCAAAUGUGAGAUGCAGUGUAAGGAACAUCAAUAUUCUAGUAUGAGAAAUUAACGAUUUAAGUCCUUCUUAAAUGAGGCCAUUUACCCAUAGAGGGUGCCAGGCCCGUAUAACGUUAAUGAUUACUAGAUGGUGUUUCCAAAGAGUCGUGUUGCUUGAUAGUGCAGCACUAAGUGGGUGGUAAACUCCAUCUAAAACUAAAUAUAACCAUGAGACCGAUAGUAAACAAGUACCGUGAGGGAAAGUUGAAAAGAACUCUGAAUAGAGAGUUAAAUAGUACGUGAAACUGCUUAGAGGUUAAGCCCGAUGAACCUGAAUAUCCGUUAUGGAAAAUUCAUCAUUAGAAUUGUAAUGUUUAAUUAAUAUUAUAACAAUAGUGUGCAUUUUUUCCAUAUAAGGACAUUGUAAUCUAUUAACAUAAUUAAUUUAUCAAAAAAUUGUGAAUUAUUGAUUAUUUCAAUUAUAGUGCUUGCAUUAUAACAUGAUAUAAAUGUCGUAAAUUUGAUAAAGUGCUGAUAGAUUUAUAUGAAUACUGUGCGUUAAUUUUUCGGAAUUAUAUAAUGGCAUGAUUAUCGAUGAUUUUUGUGUUUAUUAUAUGCACUUGUAUGAUUAACAAUGCGAAAGAUUCAGGAUACCUUCGGGACCCGUCUUGAAACACGGACCAAGGAGUCUAACAUAUGUGCAAGUUAUUGGGAUAAAAACCUAAUAGCGUAAUUAACUUGACUAUUAAUGGGAUUAGUUUUUUAACUAUUUAUAGUUAAUUAACACAAUCCCGGGGCGCUCUAUAUAGUUAUGUAUAAUUGAUAGUUAUAUUGUUUAUGCCUCUAACUGGAACGUACCUUGAGCAUAUAUGCUGUGACCCGAAAGAUGGUGAACUAUACUUGAUCAGGUUGAAGUCAGGGGAAACCCUGAUGGAAGACCGAAACAGUUCUGACGUGCAAAUCGAUUGUCAGAAUUGAGUAUAGGGGCGAAAGACCAAUCGAACCAUCUAGUAGCUGGUUCCCUUCCGA
rnacentral:rRNA from 1 species